rnacentral:rRNA from 1 species
UGCAUGCCGCGUGAGUGAUGAAGGCCUUAGGGUUGUAAAGCUCUUUUACCGGGGAUGAUAAUGACAGUACCUGGAGAAUAAGCUCCGGCUAACUCCGUGCCAGCAGCCGCGGUAAUAACUCCGUGCCGAGGCCGAGGUAAUA